CGUUUCAACCAUCAGGUGGUCUUCCUCAGGUGCUGACCACCUGGUUGAAACGCUGUUCAGCACCUGAGGAAGACCACCUGAUGGUUGAAACG